UGGCCCCGCCAUUGUCUUCCUUUUUGUGCGAAGAGCUCCUUGGUGGUGGUCCCGGGUGUUUUGUUGUGUGCCUGUCGCCUGCAGCGCAGCCUACCCCAAUGGAAGGAAUGGUGGAGGUUCUCAGCGCUCCGGCCAUCUUUGCACGGCAGGGCCCUGAUUUUCGCAGGCGUGUCCACGGCGCCACGAGGGGCUUUAAAAGGUUCACCGGUGUGAUACCCUUGAAUAAAGCAUGAGCUCUGGAAGCCCAGCCAGGGACAGUUCCCCUUCACAGAGAUUUGCCACUAACGGGCUGAGAGCCUGAGGUUACGCUCUUGAGGCAGUGCUGUUGAGAUGGCUGGGAUGCCUAGGUAAUGGUUCCUGCCACUUGAGGUUAUGAAAAGAAGAGCCACUGUCCUGUCUUGCUACUGUGGUGAGUUUGCC